rnacentral:rRNA from 1 species
UACGUAGGGUGCGAGCGUUUGUCCGGAAUUACUGGGCGUAAAGAGCUCGUAGGCGGUGUGUCGCGUCGGCCGUGAAAACCUGCAGCUUAACUGUGGGCUUGCGGUCGAUACGGGCAUCACUGGAGUUCGGCAGGGGAGACUGGAAUUCCUGGUGUAGCGGUGAAAUGCGCAGAUAUCAGGAGGAACACCGAUGGCGAAGGCAGGUCUCUGGGCUGACACUGACGCUCAUGCACGAAAGCGUGGGGAGCAAACAGG